rnacentral:siRNA from 1 species
UGACUUGGUGAAAUUCAACUGCAA